rnacentral:tmRNA from 1 species
GGGGGCGACAUGGCUUCGACGUGGGUAGCGAAACCUUAAGUGCAUGUCGAGGACUGUACACCUCGUAAAUCCUACAGAAAAAAAGUAUUCGCAAAUGACGAAAACUACUCAAUGGCUCUAGCUGCUUAAACACAGCACCAUUCCUUUGACCAUCUGUGCUUAUGCGGGUGGAGUUCGGUUUACUGAACGCUCAGAGGUCAUCUACAUAAGAUCGCACUGAAGUCUGUCCGGUAUGGAUGUGCUAAAACCUUACGGAAUCGUUAAUAACACUCUUGGCUCGUCGGGUGGUUGUUAGCUAAAUUAAAGAACGAGAUAAACAUGUAGACCUUAUGGCGGAGUACUUGCGGACGGGGGUUCAAUUCCCCCCGCCUCCACCA